rnacentral:rRNA from 1 species
AAUCAACGCUGGCGGCGUGCCUAACGCAUGCAAGUCGAACGCGAAAGGGGAGCAAUCCCUGAGUAGAGUGGCAAACGGGUGAGUAACACGUGGGUGACCUGCCUUCGAGUGGGGGAUAACGUCCCGAAAGGGACGCUAAUACCGCAUGACAUCCUGCUCUUGGAAGAGCGGAGAUCAAAGCUGGGGAUCGCAAGACCUGGCGCUUGAAGAGGGGCCCGCGCCUGAUAGCUAGUUGGUAGGGUAAUGGCCUACCAAGGCAACGAUCAGUAUCCGGCCUGAGAGGGCGGACGGACACACUGGGACUGAGACACGGCCCAGACUCCUACGGGAGGCAGCAGUGGGGAAUUGUUCGCAAUGGGCGCAAGCCUGAACCAGCGAUGCCGCGUGAGUGAUGAAGGCC